UUUGUGUAUGUGGUCUGCAGUCACUCUAUCUGUAUGUGGUCUGCGUUUUACCCUGUCCCCAGGAUUAGUCUGUAAUUUCGCAUCUCACUUUUCACACUAGAUUUCAGCAAAAUGAAACAAAACAUGGUUGAUUAUAUUGUUUCUACGAAAUUACCAUCUUUCCACGGUUAUUAAUAAAACCCGAAAUUAUCGUUCUUGUCAAUAGCAAUUUCUUGUUGGCAUUUUACAAUCGUUUUGUUCAUUUUCAUUUCUUUGAGCUCAUUAAUAAUUUAUUACCCACAUUCCCCAGCCACAUACUUCCGCUAAGUUUCACCGGUUGUGUUGAACUUUCAGCUAAUUUCAACAGCUGUUUGAACGAAAAUGGUUGAAAUAGGAUCAGGGCCGAUUAAGGAGAGCAUAGAUAACACGGUGUUUAUUAUACCUGGAUUAAUUAUAGGAUUUCUUGUCAUUUUCUUCACAUAUAAACUUGUUAAAAGUUUACGAGAGAAAGAACGACUGAAAGAAGAAAAGAAGAAGCUGAAACAGCAAAGGAAAGAAAAAGAAAAUGCAAAAAAGAUAAAGAAGAAAUAGACAUAAAUAAUGCGUUUGUGAAUGUACAUGUAUUGUAACAAAGUUUAUUUAGUAUUUAAGACUAGCGUCUGUGAAAAUUGUCAGGAGUUUUGCUGAAAUGGUUAUCUGUUAGUUUUGAACUUGGUGUAGAGACAAGAUGAACGUGAGGGUAAUGAUGGCAAUAUCUAAAGGUGAAGGAAAAUAUUUUACAGUGAUACACAAAUUUAUAUAAUAAAAAAAAGACUGGGAAGAUAAGCUACCAGUACAUGUCACAGGGGCAUAGUCUUGCAGUAAUGGUCGUCACAACAUGCAUUAAUUAAAAAUAAGACCGAAAAAAGCAAAAUUGAAAAUGUUUGAAAAAACUAAUACUUGCCACUAACUCUUCAAAAGAUGUCCAGACUAACAGAUGAAUUUGUGCCAAUGACAGAAAAGAAAUUUUGGAAUGCAGCUUUGAAUAAUUUUGAAGCCAUAAGUAUUGAAGACGGAAAUACAACUAUAAAUAAUAUAUAAUUGAGAAUUUGCUGUUAGUUUUCAGGUUUUUAUUAUAUUUUGUAAUGGUUAUGAUCAUUCCAGAUUUUUUAGUGUCAUAAUAUACAUGUAUAUUUGCUUUGAACGUUGAUGCGCAUCUGUAUUACUUCAGAAUAUAAAAAAUUAAACACAUGUUUUACAUACAUCUUACAUUCUUAAAACUUGGUCUCCAAAUUUAUAAUUCUGUACAUGUUUGUAACAAUAUGGUUACCAUUUGAGCCAUUUGCCAUGACUUUGUUGAAGUGGCUCAAUUUUUUUUUAACAUUUUUAUUUUUGAAUUGUACCAAUUUCUGACUUGAUAACAUUUUUUAUGCUUUAAAAGAUGACAUGUCUAAGACACAAUCUGAGGCAGUGUAGGUCUUGUACCUGACCUGCUUUAUGACGACUAAUGUUCAGUAAAUACCAGAAAACAUUUCUCAGUUAAAUGUCAUUGAAAACACAGGUUUACAGUUUCAAAAGGGCUUUUCACGCUCAGUUGAUGAUGAUUUUUAAUAUUAUCAAGUCAAUGUAUGCUGACAGCUCAUGUCUUUAAACAGCUUGCACAUUAACAGUUGUCCGAUUCAUGUCUAUGAUUAGGUAAAUUACUGUAAAAUCAUUUAAUUUCGUGGGCAUAAAAUUUUGUGGUUUUGGUCAAAACUGCAAUUUCAUGGGAAUAGAAUUCGUGGAAUUCAAAUCUUGAACAUAAAAUGAAUGGGAAUUUUACUUGUUCGUUGGGAUUAAAUUUCGUGGAUUGACUCAACCACGAAAUCCACGAAAAUUAGUCCCCCAUGAAUAUUAAUGUUUUCACAGUAUACUAAACUUGGCUUCGUACGACUUUGGAAAGUUUAGUUUACAAGCUUUCCAAUGAUACAUUUUCAAUUCUGACCAGGUUUUCUAAGAAACUGUGCUAUCUGUUUUCAUACAUGUAUACUGCUUAACUCCCCUUUUGGUUAUUAUAAUUAGCAGAUGCACAGUCAGUGCAGGAGAAAGAUUUUUUACAAAAGUAUAGACAGUGAGAUGUCAAAGUGCUAUAUGGAACUUUUAACCCUGAUCAUGCUAGACACGAUUGAUUUUGCCUUUGAGGCCAGUGUAGAUGAUAAUUCAUGAUCUCUGCACUGUUCGCCAUUCAGUCAGUAUCCUUUCGGUAAGCAACCCUUUUAACAGUUAAUGGUAUUGUCCAAAUUGAAAGAUGGACACGUUCACUAUAGAAAUUUAGCAGGGUAAGGGUUAAAGGGAAAUCACUUAUUAUCUGGUACUUGAUAUCAAGAUAGGUAACUCUGCUUACCCCUUCACUUCAGAUGCCUUCUAUAGUCUUGAAACUGUAGACCUGUGUGUGUUAUUGUUUUGCCUCAACAUAUUUGAGUAUAAUUGUAAAAGCUUUGAACUGAUAUUUUAGCCGCACAGUGAGAAAACCAACAGACCCGCAUGGAUCCAGACCAGCCUGCAUAUCCGAGCAGUCUGGUUAGGAUCAGUGCUGUUUGCUAAUGGUUUCUCUAAUUGCAAUAGGCUUUGAAAUGGAACAGCAUGGAUCCUGACCAGACUGCGGAUGUGCAGGCUGGUCUGGAUCCAUGCUGGUCGCAAAUGCACUAUGUUGGUUUUCUCAUGGUGCGGCUCAAUUAUAUGUAAAAUUUCUUGCCAAAAUGUAAUUAUUUUAAUGCUCUUUAUAUCAUUGCGUCAGAUAUAUAGAUCUAACAUUGUAUGUCCUACCAAUAUUAUUUACUCGAUAGAUAAUGCUAAAAUCUGUUUUCAUGCAAAUAUUUUGAAUUCAUUUAAAGAUACUCUUCAGCAUUCCAUGCUUUAUUUGCAUAAAAUUUACAUAAACGUCGUAGUACAUUGUAUAUGGUAAUACUUGUUUAAUGCCAGAGCAUUAAUUCUGUAUGAAAAGUAAGAAACGUAAGGCAUUAGUAAUACGAGCCGCACCUUGAGAAAACCAGCAUAGUGCAUUUACAACCAGCAUCAAUCCAGACAAGCUGCACAUCCACGCAGUUUGGUCAGGAUCCAUACUGUUCAGUUUCUCUAAUUGCAGUAGGCUUUCAAGUUUGAGCUUUGAAAGCGAACAGCAUGGAUCCUGACCAGACUGGUCAGCAUCCAUGCUGGUCGCAAAUGCACUGUUUGUUUUCUCAUGGUGUGGCUCAUUUGUUGUAAAGCUGUCAUUGAAAUACUGAAAUAUGGUGCUACAUGUAUACAUCCACUGAAAUGAUAGAUGUAUAAAUUAUCAAAGAAGAAAAGCUUGUCAAAGGUUACUUAGCGAUCGGAGAAUAUAAAAUGGUUAACAACAUUUUAGCUCAUAAAAUUACGCAGUUAAAUAGCUCUUUCUGUUGCUGUGAAUUUGAAUUAUUACGCAAAAGUAUUUUUACCAAUUAUAAGUUUUCUUUUGCAGUUUACAGUAAAAGAUGUUAUACAUUUCCAAACUGUCAAAUCCUCAUUUUCAUACGUAUUUUUUUACACUGGUUUAGUAUAAUAGAAUACUGUAUUGUUAGGUUUUAGAAAAGUUGGUCUGUGUUUGUCUUGUAUACAUUAAUAUUUUGAUGCUGGACAUCAUGAUUAUGUAAUGCUUUUUGUUAUACCCCCGAAGGGAGGCGUAUUAGUUUUCAACUGUCCAUCCAAUCGUUAGUUCGUUCAUUCGUCACAACGUUAACUUUUUGCAUGAAGGCACUUUACUCGCGAACCACUGCACCCAGGACCUUCAAAGGUCAAGGCGCUGUGGGGGCAUUUGUCACCAUUAGUGACAGCUCUUGUUAAAGACAAAAAUGAAGUUGUUAUGUUGAAUGAAACCAUCCUUCAAAGAAAAAUUGUAAUGAUGAACAGUGUUUAUGGUGUUAAAUCCAUAACAGGCAUUAUUUAAUUAAUAGGCCAUUAACCCUUAUCAUGCUGGACACAAUUGGUUCGGCCUUUUCGACCAAUGCAGAUCUUAAUCAGACUGCACAUCCAUGCAGUCUGAUCAUGAUGUGCACUGUUCACCAUUCAAGUUAUAUAUUUUAUGUAUACUCAUUUAACAGUUAACGAUACUGUCCAAAUUGAAAGAUGGACAAGUUCUUUACAAAAAUUUAGCAGAGCAGGGGCUAAAGACAAUAGGCAAUUUACAUUAAUUUUUGUAUUCUCCAUAUUAUAUUUCGGCAUUCUCGGUUUUGAUGAAAAAUAAUUUUCUGUUACCGCCAAUGUAGGAUGCCAAAAUUGCAUGUUAAGAAUACGAAAUUCAACGGAAAUUGCUGAUUGUCUGUAUGGGUAGAGAAUUUUAAUAGGCAGAAUACCUUAAAAUUGUAACAGUAUUUUGAUAUUGAGGGAUCUGACCUUCAGUUUUCUAAAUAAUAACUGUGACUUAUAAAUAAUUUUAUGAAAAGCAGAUCCUAUGUUUAAAAUAUUAAAUAAUUGUAAUUUGUACAUAAGAAAGUGUUUUUCAUUGGUCCAUUUAACACAGCAACUCAUUUGAUAUAGUUUAGGAGUAAGCACAUGUUACACAAAUGUUUUUUCUCCAUCUUCCCAUUUACUUUAAACAUGUUAAAAGUAGAAAAUUUCGUGGAGAUUUAAUUUUUCCUAUAUUCGCGAGGCCAUACAUCUCGCGAAAAUUAAUCCUCGUGUAAAGAGUCAACAUUAGUAUAAAUCAAAUUCAAGUAGAAUACCAUUUUUAAAACUUCACCAAACCUCACGAACAUACUCAAAAUUUCAAAUUCACUUAUUUGUGACACAGCGAAAAUACAUGCUUUUACAGUAACAUAGACAAAGAGGUAUCAGCAAAGCCUGAAAGUGAUUUAAUGUUUGUACUAGGGUGAAUAAUGCAUGCAGUGUGUAAGGAAAUUGAAAGAACUGAUAAGUGCAUUAUCUAUAAUUUACUUCAUGCAUGCAGACAAUGUUGACAUGCCUUUCACACAACCUGACUUUUUGUUUGAAAGUGAUCUAUUGGAAAGAGCUUGAGGCGAUUUUGGAUUGUAUUUUCUGAAUGUAAUGAUCAUAUUUAUUACAAAACAGUUCAUAUUUUACUUCCUCCUUGAUUUUUUUUAAUUGCCUGUAGCAUAUUUAUAAUUGAUUACCGGAAGAGAGUUUUCAUAAAAAAAAUUUAUGAAUGACAUGUUCAAAAAAUGUUACUUGUUACAGUUGUCAUGUGUAAUCGUUAUCAAACCCAUGCAACCUAAAUGUUUGAUGCGCCUUUUUUACGACAAGAUUUUUCAUUGAUUUCUUUUUUAAUACCUUAUGUAAAACAUUAUGAUGAAAUUUAUUUAUGAUUUUUUUUCUGUUGUUAAUUUUAUCUAGUUUAGUUACCAAACCAUGCACUGCAUUUAAUUUUAGCGAAAUUUUUAUCACUAAAAAAACAUUGGCUAUCUAUAAUUUCAGCACAGAGAAAAAAUCUAAAAAUAAAGUGAUUGUAAUACAUGAAAAUGCAACAUUAAUUUUGUUAUAUUUUCAGUUAUAAGAGGAUAUGUAUACUUCCAAAAAAAAAAAGAAAUAAGUAUCUCUUUGCAUUAAGAUUGUUUCUACAUUUGUAUAGAAAUGAUAUUAUUACAUUGCUUAGAAAAUUUAAUAUUUGAAAUUAUUAGUUGCAAAAACACCUUUAUUUGAUUAGCAUAAUGAUAUUCAAAGUGACAUAGCAAUAGGUUAUUGUAUUCAAAAUUAAGGGUUUGGGGUUUGUCAGUUAUCUGUGUGUUUUCAUUUUAUUUAUUUCCUUGUUUUAGGCAAUUUAUUACUAGUUUCUAUAUCAUUUUUGUGGUGUUUUUAACUGCUGAAUAACGCUUACCAUGUUGGACACGAUUGAUUCCGCCUUUGCAACCAGUGUAGAUCAUGAUCAGCCUGCAUAUCCAUGCAGUUUGAUCAUCCUCACUGUUCACCAUUCAGUCCGUAUCUUUUCGGUAUGCACCCCUUUUAACAGUUAAUGGUACUAUCCAAAUUUAAAGAUGGACAAGUUCAUUAUAGAAAUUUAGCAGGUUAAGGGUUAAUUUAAAUCUCAGUAUUAUUGACAGUGUAGUUGAAUUUUUAUUGUUUAUUAUCUUAGUUUUUAAUAAAUCAAUACAGAUAUAUUUUAUAGCUAGAAAAAAAUCCUUGUUAGAAAAUUUAAUGUUCUUUAUGCAGUAAGUUUUUGUUAAAUUUGAAGAGCAGGUGAUGAACUUUGUGAACUAGUUUUAUUGUUUUUGUAAAUACCAAUGAACAAUUAUUUAUGAUAUGACUGUUUUGACAUCAGGUUAUAAACCCCACUUUCCCUGAAAUAAAUAACAAAGGGACUGUCUUUGAGUCACAUGUUCUGGAAAUCUUCAAUUUUUUUCCGUCAGUGUAUCUCCAGAACUGAAAAAUUAAUGAGCCACACCAUUAGAAAACCAACAUAAUGUGUUUGUGACCAGCAUGGAUCCAGACCAGCCUGCGCAUCCGCACAGUCUGGUCAGGAUCCAUGUUGUUCGCUUUCAAAACCUAUUGCAAUUAGAGAAACCAUUAGGGAACAGCAUGAAUCCAGACCAGACUGCACGGAUGUGCAGGCUGGUCUGGAUCCAUGCUGGUCGCAGACGCACUAUGUUGGUUUUCUCAUGGCGCGUCUCAAAUGUAUUUUCAAAAAAUUACCAGUAAAUGUCUUUUAUAUCAAACCAGAGUCAGGGUAUACACAAUCUUCUGGGAUAUCUCUAGUUUUUCAGCGAACUCAAAACUUUUUGUCAUAUAUUUGGAGUCUAGCAUUAAAGAACUGUCAAUAGACCAUUGCAAACAACUAGGUGGGUGGGAGUUUUAGGAUUGCUGUCCAGAGGCCUUUUUAUAAUCCAAGAUUCUGUUUUUCUUUUAAAUCAAAAUUAUGUGUGUGUGUGUGUGUGUGUGUGUGUGUGUGUGUGUGUGUGUGUGUGAUUAACUGCUGAGUAUUUGAUGCCCUCCCUCUGGCCCACCUCUGAAGAAGUGGGUAUAUUGUAUAGCAUGUCAAUCUGGCUUUUGGUUCACAAUCAGUUAUUAGAGACUGCUUGGUCUCACAAUGGUCAAACUUCACAGGAUGAUUCCCAGUGAUAAGUAGAUUACCCCACUCAUAUUUAGGGUCAAAGGUCAAGGUCCAAGACUUAGUGACCUUUAGACAGAAAAAUGGUUUCUGCUCAGUAACUUAUUAAGAACUUAUAUUCAUGAAAUGUCAUAGGGUGAUUGCCUGUGGUCAUUAAUGACCACUUAUUAUUUUGAGUCUCUAGGUCAAAGGUCAAGGACUGCUAAAUCAAAAAUUGCUUCAGCUCAAUUAUCAGGGGACCCUUUCUCUGUCAACUUUUGUAGGAUGGUUGCCUGUAGUGUUAGACCCCUGAUGUUUUAAAGGUUAUUUGGUCAAAGGUCAAUGUCAUAGUGUACUAAAUUACUACCCACUUGUCUGUUACAGGCUGUAAUGGAGGGGUAUAUGUGUUUUACAAAUAGCUCUUGUUACAUAUGCCAUUUUAUGUACUUUUAAUUCUAGAUAGAUAAACUAUAACAGGUAUCUCUUAGAUGUUGUUUUACAAAGUUCAUAGUCUUCUUAAAAUUAUUCUAGGAUAAUUUGACCUUUGUCUAUCCACAGACAAAUUUUUUAAGGUUUUAAAUAAUAAUAUGAUUUGCAGGUGUGUUUUCAAUGUGUUUAGGCUUUUCCAGUGAAAUGUUUAUUGAAAUCAUACACAUACUUUUAUGCAUACCAGUUCUGAAUUCUUAUCCACAGCCUUGUUGAUUUUCAUCAUCGUUUUCAACAUCAAAAUGCAUUUUGUCUGUAGGAUUUCAGGGCCCGUCCUAGCCACUAAUUGGCUGUAGCCAAAGCUGCUGUUAAAAAUCAUACAAAAAUAUGUUUAAAAUUGCAAAAUAGACCAUCAAAUUUGUAGCCAAAUUGAAAAAAUUGUAGCCAAAGUGGCAUUUUAUAAGCCAUUGGCUACAAUGGCUAAAGGCAGAGCAGGCCAUGAGGAUUUGUAACAUAAUCAAAGGUAUUAUAUCAGGAUGUGUUGUAAACUAGUCACUUUAACCCUUACCCUGCUAAAUUUGUAAAAUGAACUGGUCCUGCAUUCAAUUUGGGCAGUACCAUUUAUUAUUGGAAGGGGUGUUAACUGAAAAUUUACUGACUGAAUAGCGAACAGUACAGACCAUGAUCUUGGUCUGUACUGGUCGCAAAGGCAAAAUCACAUGCCACUAGCAGGCUAAAGGUUAAAGCAUUUACCAUAAUAAGAUGUAUAGCAAUUUUAAGAUCCCAAAUCAAGUCAUGUCACAAGUGUUUGCGUAAUAACUUAAGGUGCUAGAAUAUGUUCCUCGUAAAAAAAAAAAAGAAGAAAAACGGUAAAUUGCUGUUUUUGCAGAAACUGGUAUUAUCAGCUUACUGUGAAAUUCUUGAUAUUCGUCGGGGAUUUAUUUUCAAAAACUUCCUGGUUGGAUCUGUCUACAAGAUCUAAACACAAAAUUCAUAGAAUAUUCUUGGCUUGGCUAAAAGUAGCUUUUUGAAUGAAACCACAAUUUUUUUAUGCUCAUGAAUAUGAUUUUACUGUACAUGUUUUUUAGCAUAAAUUCAAAAUUAAAAGAUAAUUAUUUGAAAAAUAUACAAGUUGUUUAAAAUCAUAAGUGCUUGAAAUAUUACAUGAGUCGCGCCAUGAGAAAACCAACAUAGUGGCUUUGCGACCAGCAUGGAUCCAGACCAGCCUGUGCAUCCACGCAGUCUGGUCAGGAUCCAUGCUGUUCGCUUUUAAAGCCUAUUGCAAUUAGAUGAACUGUUAAGCGAACAGCAUGGAUCCUGACCAGGAUGCACAGUCUGGUCUAGAUCCAUGCUGGUCACAAAGCCACUAUGUUGGUUUUCUCAUGGCACGGCUCAUAUUAUAUUUUCUCAUUUUAGGACAUGACUCUUUUCCCUUUCAUUGAGAUUUGUAUGUUGUUGAUAAUUUUAGUGUAUAAAUUCAAUCUGUUUCAGAUAUUGUUUCAUAUAUCAAUCAUCGAUGAAGUGUUAAUAGUAAUUAUGUUGUGAAACUGUUCAUGUAUAAAGUUUUGUCUCAAUAAUGUAUAUAUCAGAAACAGAUAAAUUAUGACAAUUAAUAGAAAUAUUUAAAGACAGAAUAACA